rnacentral:rRNA from 1 species
UGGGGAAUUUUGGACAAUGGGGGAAACCCUGAUCCAGCCAUCCCGCGUGUGCGAUGAAGGCCUUCGGGUUGUAAAGCACUUUUGGCAGGAAAGAAACGUCACGGGUUAAUACCCCGUGAAACUGACGGUACCUGCAGAAUAAGCACCGGCUAACUACGUGCCAGCAGCCGCGGUAAUACGUAGGGUGCAAGCGUUAAUCGGAAUUACUGGGCGUAAAGCGUGCGCAGGCGGUUCGGAAAGUAAGAUGUGAAAUCCCAGAGCUCAACUUUGGAACUGCAUUUUUAACUACCGGGCUAGAGUGUGUCAGAGGGAGGUGGAAUUCCGCGUGUAGCAGUGAAAUGCGUAGAUAUGCGGAGGAACACCGAUGGCGAAGGCAGCCUCCUGGGAUAACACUGACGCUCAUGCACGAAAGCGUGGGGAGCAAACAGG